rnacentral:lncRNA from 1 species
GCACGGAGGCCUCCGUACUACCAAGUUGUUUUCAAUGAUGCGGCUUCCAAAUCGACGAUCGGCUCCGUUAGACUUGAUCUACACUAUUAAAAGUAUUUGGAAACUAAAUUUCAUAAUUUUUCGAUAUCAUUUACCUAUCAAACGAGUAGUCUAAAAAUAAAUGGCUGAAAAUAAAAAUCUCCUAAAAAAUGAUGAUAAAAGACUUAUAGAAAAUUCUUUUCACUAUUUAGAGUAAGAUCAGUACCUCUGAUCUUAAAUUCAAGUCUUUUAUCAUCAUUUUUUAUGAGAUUUUUAUUUUUAGCUGUUCAUUUUUAGGCUAUUCAUUUGAUAGGUAAAUGAUGCCGAAAAAUUAAGAAAUUUAGUUUCCAAAUACUUUCAAUAGUGUAGAUCAAGUCUAACGGAGCCGAUAGUCGAUUUGGAAGCCGCAUCAUUGAAAACAACUUGAUAGCACGGAGGCCUCCGGGCUAGCGAUAGUAUGAUGUACAUGUGUAUGUAUUUAUAUAUAGAGCUAGGCUGGUAUACUAUCGGUAUAUAUAUAUAUAUAUAUAUAUAGAAUUGAGCUAGAAUACUUUUAGAAGCACCAACCCCUUGGUGCUUCUAGGGUUUAAGCCCUUGGAUCUACUCCUUGAUUACUAGUAACCCUUGGAUUAAACACUAUUCCACCUACCACCACCUACCACCACCUAACACCAUCAUCCCAACCUUACAACUCUGAUCAUCCAAUGGCCAAAAACUCAAAAGCACCACCCUCUUGGUGCUUUUGAGAGUAUUCUAGCUCAACAAUAUAUAUGUAUGUGUAUGUGUAUGUGUAUGUGUAUGUAUAUGUAUAGAGCUAGACUGGUAUACUAUCGGUAGCACGGAGGCCUCCAUGCUACCAAGUUGCUUUUAAUGAUGCGGCUUCCAAGUCGACGAUCGGCUCCAUUAGACUUGACCUACAGUAUUGAAAGUAUUUGAAAACUAUAUUUCAUAAAUUUUUGGUAUCAUUUACCUAUCAAACGAGUAGUCUAAAAAUAAAUGGCUGAAAAUAAAAAUCUCCUAAAAAAUGAUGAUAAAAGACUUGAAUUUAACAUCAGAGAUACUGAUCUUACUCUAAAUAGUGAAAAGAAUUUUCUAUAAAAAUUUCAUCAGAUUUGGAUUAUUUUACACUGUUAAAUUCACAAACGCAUCACAUCUAGCAUUAAAAUUGUCAAUUUUGAGACCUUUUGAUCACUAGCCAAAUGAUGUCGAAAAAUUAUGAAAUUUAGUUUCCAAAUACUUUUAAUAGUGUAAAUCAAGUCUAACGGAGUCGUUCGUCGAUUUAGAAGCCGUAU